rnacentral:rRNA from 1 species
CACGUAGGGCGCAAGCGUUGUCCGGAAUUAUUGGGCGUAAAGAGCUCGUAGGCGGUCUGUUGCGUCCGCUGUGAAAACUCGGGGCUUAACCCCGAGCCUGCAGUGGAUACGGGCAGACUAGAGGUAGGUAGGGGAGAAUGGAAUUCCCGGUGUAGCGGUGAAAUGCGCAGAUAUCGGGAGGAACACCGGUGGCGAAGGCGGUUCUCUGGGCCUUACCCUGACGCUGAGGAGCGAAAGCGUGGGGAGCGAACAGGAUUGAGAA